rnacentral:rRNA from 1 species
UAUCGAUAAGCCAUUGGAGGGCAAGUCUGGUGCCAGCAGCCGCGGUAAUUCCAGCUCCAAUAGCGUAUAUUAACGUUGUUGCAGUUAAAAAGCUCGUAGUUGAAGUGAGGGAGUGUGUGUUGUGAUCGAAUCGAUCGAGAGCAGUACAACCUCCCCCUUCCAAUGGGUGUAUUGGGGUAUUCAUUUACUUCAUUACUCCUUUGGUCGUUUACUGUGAGAAAAUUAGAGUGUUCAAAGCGGGCGUUUGUUUGAAUAGAUUAGCAUGGAAUAAUGAUUGAAGGCUUUCGUGUUCGAUUUGAUUGGUUUGUUCAUGGAAGCAAGGUUAAAAGGAACAGUUGGGGGUAUUCAUAUUCACUAGUUAGAGGUGAAAUUCUCGGAUUUAUGGAAGAUGAACAAUGCCGAAAGCAA